AGAAGAAGAAGAAGAAGUAAUACAACCACCUCCAUCCCCUUUCUCCGUUCCCUGCCACGCAUUGAAUCAACUCACUGCUAUUGCUCAAACAUCCCAACAAUGGGAAUGAUUUGGAGUUUUGAUUGUUGAUCGUUAUAGAGUCUAUCCUUUAUCAAGUCUUUACCAUAUCCCACCACAGAGGUCUGGCCACUAGGAGCUGGACUUGAUAGCAUAAAUCCCCGAGUAAAUAUAACUCCUCCAAUUUAUGUUGGCCAACAAGCUGGGACACUACAUUCAGCAGAUUAAAAUUCCAACCUUUGAAGUUCAAAAUCAAGAAUAAUUUCAUCAAAUGAUGAUAUGGAACACAGGCAUAGCAUUAAAACAAUUUGAAGCUAGUAUAUUCAAAUCCAAAUACCAGUAACAGUUUAAUUCCAUCCAAAUUCAUAUCACUAAAAUAGUUAGUUUAAAAACAAAGAAAUACCUCCGCUUCAAUUCCACAAAAUUUACCGAAGGAAACCUAUUUCGCCCAAGCAAUUCAUUGUUCAAUCUUCGAUAUAAUAAACCCUGAAAUAUAAAUAAUCAAGCAAAUACUAAGUACAUAUUUUCCUAAAAAAUAUAACUCCAAAAAAAUGCUGCAAGAUACUAUACCAAACGCAUUCAAUAUCUGAAGUUGAGAGUUGAAA
rnacentral:lncRNA from 1 species